AUGCCUGGGCGUCUCAAUGGAAGCAGAACCAUCCACGGGGGACGGGGGGAAGUCGUCCGGGUGGGGCUCCUCUUCUCGCGGCUUCGAGGGAGGAGGGAUCCGUCGCCGGUGGUGCGGGCGGUUUUCUGCGGCGAGGCCGACGUCGGCGUGUGGGAUGUGGCGGCGCGGGGUGGUGGAGCAGAGGCGAGAGCGCUGGAGACGAGGAGGUUGCGUGCGAGGAGGGAGAAAGGGGAACGCGUGCUAGCGCCAGGGAGGGUGUAUCUGGGGGAGAGAGCGCUACCCAAUCCAAUAACAGUAAAAACGAUGAGGUGGAACGCGCGAGGAGGUGCCCUUGAUGCACACCUUAUUGUUUUGGAUGUCCUGGAAUGUGAAAGUGUUAGGGGACGAGGAGAAAAACAUAACCAUUUUCAUUUUUCAAACCAAUGA
rnacentral:rRNA from 1 species